ensembl:lncRNA
CCGUGUUCCCUGUCGGAUCGGCUCACUACUGCUGCUCCCAACUGCACGCAAGGCUUCAGUAUUAGCGAACACUAUCAGAAGAAACAGAAGAAUGUAGCAAGAGGAAUGAAUCUUAACCAUACCAUCGAAUCUGACUAGCACUAUGCAUCAACAGACAUAUUUAGGAGACAAAAUAUCUAUGAAUUCUGGAAAAUAACUCAUUUUCAACUAGAGGUCAAAAUGGCAACAAAUGUCUUUUAAUUUUCUUUGAGAAGGCAUCUUCCUAGUUGGACAUCAGUAGAUUUACACAGAAGUGACCUCUGACUUACAGUUGGAGCUGAGGGAGAAGAAAGAGGGAGAGAUAAGAGAGAAGAUUGAUUUUCUGUAGGUUACACAUUACAUUUUUGAGAGAAAAUUUUGUUCCUGAAUAUGCUUUUUUUUUUCAAUAAUACCUUUUUCCGUUAAUGUCAUAAGCAAUAAAAUUUGAUCUGAAAAGUUAAAAACUUCCCCUCUUCUACGUUCAGCUAAUUAUUUUAAUUGUAAUAAUUCAUUUAUUCGGUAAUAAGAGUAUGGGAGUUUGGCAAAGGUUUUCUUCAUUUAUUCUGUGAUAAGCAAUCACAUUCAUAUAUCAUGUGAUGCUACUUCAGGUUGUUUUAUGAAAAGGUUCUAAAAGUUCAGCAUAUAAAACAAAUAAUACUUAGCAGCCAAUUUAAUGUAAUGAAGAACUGCAAAUGCUUAUGAGAAGCUUUACUGAAAAUCUUUCUUUUGCUUGAGAUACUGCCUGCUAUCAUGUGCUUUUGCACAUGUCCUUCUGACUCAUUAUAUUCAGGAGGCAGAAAUCUCACCAUUUCCAAUGGUAGAAAAUGCUUGGGCUCUGUCUUUUCAACCUAUGAUUUUUGCUUGUCUAGGAGGUUUGAUGACAAAAUGGCUAUGUUAACAUCUUUCUUAAUUUGAUUCCUGAGGGGUUAAGGAAAACUUCAUGGAAUGUCAUUAUUCCCUUAAAGAUACACGUUUUGUUGGACUGACAAAGUGGUUUGAUUCCAAAUAAGCACUUUUUGCUAGAAAAAUUGGACAUCAUCAUUAAAAGACAGUGCCAUCUUAAUGGUUUAUUUUUAUUUUCUUCUGAUCUUUUUAACCGAAGUCAAAAUAACUACUUUAAGAAAUUAUCUAAUAUUAAGACCUUGUGUAAAAUUCUUUUUAUUUCAGUUAACAAUGUCUAACUCAUAAAACUGUCUUACUCUCAGUUUUUCUUCUUUAUUAUGGGCCAAGCUCAUUUACUCGCAGGUUUUAUUUGGAGAUAAUCAAAUAAUUCCCUUGGAAAGAGACAAAACAAUUUUUCUUUUGCCUUCAGGUGGAUACUAUAGAUGCAUAUGGAUGUCUUCAGCCACAAGCAUUCUUCAGCUCCUUCUUGGACAGUCUUUUUCCACUGUUGCCUUUAGGGAUUGCUCUAAAAGGCAGUACUCUCCUUCUCUUUAGACAACAUAAUUUUUGCUUCCUUUUUGAAUAAUGAGCCUUUAAAAUUAUCAGUGUCACUAUCAAGGAUUUGAAACCUACAUCUGUAUGACUAGUUAGCUUAUUGACUGUUGGCAGUUACUGCUAUGGCAUUCUGCUAUGAUAUGCAAAAAUGAUGCUUGUUUGACUUUUUUUUUCUUUUAUAUCUUUAGCUUCCAUUAUAGUUUCCAUUGCCUUUUAGCAGUACUAUUCUGC